UACGUAGGGUGCAAGCGUUGUCCGGAAUUAUUGGGCGUAAAGAGCUCGUAGGCGGUCUGUCGCGUCGAAUGUGAAAAUCCGGGGCUCAACCCCGGACCUGCAUUCGAUACGGGCAGACUGGAGUUCGGCAGGGGAGACUGGAAUUCCUGGUGUAGCGGUGAAAUGCGCAGAUAUCAGGAGGAACACCGGUGGCGAAGGCGGGUCUCUGGGCAGUAACUGACGCUGAGGAGCGAAAGCGUGGGGAGCGAACAGG
rnacentral:rRNA from 1 species